GUAAGCUAUUAAGAGCGAAUGGUGGAUGCCUUGGCUGGUAAAGGCGAUGAAGGACGUACUAGACUGCGAUAAGCUACGGGGAGCUGUCAAGAAGCUUUGAUCCGUAGAUUUCCGAAUGGGGCAACCCAGUAUAUAGAGAUAUAUACUACCAUAAUGGAGCGAACGUAGGGAAUUGAAACAUCUUAGUACCUACAGGAAAAGAAAUCAAUAGAGAUUGCGUUAGUAGCGGCGAGCGAAAGCGCAAGAGGGCAAACCCAGUGCUUGCACUGGGGGUUGUAGGACUGCAAUGUGCAAUAGGUAAGGUUAGUAGAACACUCUGGAAAGUGUAGCCAUAGAGGGUGAUAGUCCCGUAUACGAAAACCAAACCUUAGCUAGCAGUAUCCUGAGUAGGGCGGGACACGAGGAAUCCUGUCUGAAGCUGGGUCGACCACGAUCCAACCCUAAAUACUACUACCAGACCGAUAGUGCACAAGUACCGUGAGGGAAAGGUGAAAAGAACUGAGGUGAUCAGAGUGAAAUAGAACCUGAAACCAUUUGCUUACAAUCAUUCAGAGCACUAUGUAGCAAUACAGUGUGAUGGACUGCCUUUUGCAUAAUGAGCCUGCGAGUUGUGGUGUCUGGCAAGGUUAAGCACACGCGAAGCCGUAGCGAAAGCGAGUCUGAAUAGGGCGCUUAAGUCAGAUGCUGCAGACCCGAAACGAAGUGAUCUAUCCAUGAGCAAGUUGAAGCUAGUGUAAGAACUAGUGGAGGACUGAACCGAUAGGCGUUGAAAAGCCCCCGGAUGACUUGUGGAUAGGGGUGAAAGGCCAAUCAAACUUCGUGAUAGCUGGUUCUCUCCGAAAUAUAUUUAGGUAUAGCGUUGUGUCGUAGUAUAAGGGGGUAGAGCACUGAAUGGGCUAGGGCAUACACCAAUGUACCAAACCCUAUCAAACUCCGAAUACCUUAUAUGUAAUCACAGCAGUCAGGCGGCGAGUGAUAAAAUCCGUCGUCAAGAGGGAAACAACCCAGACUACCAGCUAAGGUCCCUAAAUCUUACUUAAGUGGAAAACGAUGUGAAGUUACUUAAACAACCAGGAGGUUGGCUUAGAAGCAGCCAUCCUUUAAAGAAAGCGUAAUAGCUCACUGGUCUAGUGAUUUUGCGCGGAAAAUAUAACGGGGCUAAAGUAAGUACCGAAGCUGUAGACUUGAUUUUAUCAAGUGGUAGGAGAGCGUUCUAUUUGCGCCGAAGGUAUACCGGUAAGGAGUGCUGGAGCGAAUAGAAGUGAGCAUGCAGGCAUGAGUAGCGAUAAUUAAUGUGAGAAUCAUUAACGCCGUAAACCCAAGGUUUCCUACGCGAUGCUCGUCAUCGUAGGGUUAGUCGGGUCCUAAGUCGAGUCCGAAAGGGGUAGACGAUGGCAAAUUGGUUAAUAUUCCAAUACCAACAUUAGUGUGCGAUGGAAGGACGCUUAGGGCUAAGCAAGCUAGCGGAUGGAAGUGCUAGUCUAAGGUCGUAGGAGGUUAUAUAGGCAAAUCCGUAUAACAAUACUCCGAGAACUGAAAGGCUCUUCAAAGUCUUCGGACAGCGAGGAGAAUUGCUGAUGCCGUCGAGCCAAGAAAAGUUUCUAAGUUUAGCUAAUGUUGCCCGUACCGUAAACCGACACAGGUGGGUGGGAUGAGUAUUCUAAGGCGCGUGGAAGAACUCUCUUUAAGGAACUCUGCAAAAUAGCACCGUAUCUUCGGUAUAAGGUGUGGUUCGCUUCGUAUUAGGAUUUACUCCGAAAGCGAAGAAACUUACAACAAAGAGUCCCUCCCGACUGUUUACCAAAAACACAGCACUCUGCUAACUCGUAAGAGGAUGUAUAGGGUGUGACGCCUGCCCGGUGCUCGAAGGUUAAUUGAUGGGGUUAGCAUUAGCGAAGCUCUUGAUCGAAGCCCGAGUAAACGGCGGCCGUAACUAUAACGGUCCUAAGGUAGCGAAAUUCCUUGUCGGUUAAAUACCGACCUGCAUGAAUGGCGUAACGAGAUGGGAGCUGUCUCAAAGAGGGAUCCAGUGAAAUUGUAGUGGAGGUGAAAAUUCCUCCUACCCGCGGCAAGACGGAAAGACCCCGUGGACCUUUACUACAGCUUGACACUGCUAUUUGGAUAAGAAUGUGCAGGAUAGGUGGGAGGCUUUGAGUAUAUGACGCCAGUUGUAUAUGAGCCGUUGUUGAGAUACCACUCUUUCUUAUUUGGGUAGCUAACCAGCUUGAGUUAUCCUCAAGUGGGACAAUGUCUGGUGGGUAGUUUGACUGGGGCGGUCGCCUCCCAAAUAAUAACGGAGGCUUACAAAGGUUGGCUCAGAACGGUUGGAAAUCGUUCGUAGAGUAUAAAGGUAUAAGCCAGCUUAACUGCAAGACAUACAAGUCAAGCAGAGACGAAAGUCGGUCUUAGUGAUCCGGUGGUUCUGUGUGGAAGGGCCAUCGCUCAAAGGAUAAAAGGUACCCCGGGGAUAACAGGCUGAUCUCCCCCAAGAGCUCACAUCGACGGGGAGGUUUGGCACCUCGAUGUCGGCUCAUCGCAUCCUGGGGCUGGAGCAGGUCCCAAGGGUAUGGCUGUUCGCCAUUUAAAGCGGUACGCGAGCUGGGUUCAGAACGUCGUGAGACAGUUCGGUCCCUAUCUGCCGUGGGCGUAAGAAGAUUGAAGAGAUUUGACCCUAGUACGAGAGGACCGGGUUGAACAAACCACUGGUGUAGCUGUUGUUCUGCCAAGAGCAUCGCAGCGUAGCUAAGUUUGGAACGGAUAAACGCUGAAAGCAUCUAAGCGUGAAGCCAACUCUAAGAUGAAUCUUCUCUAAGCUCUCUAGAAGACUACUAGUUUGAUAGGCUGGGUGUGUAAUGGAUGAAAGUCCUUUAGCUGACCAGUACUAAUAGAGCGUUUGGCUUAUCUUAUUUAAGCAUCACUUCCUUGUUAAGGUUUUUAAUAAAGCUUUAAAUGUUUUUAUAUGAAAACUACAUUUAGCUUAUAAAAUCUUACAAGUAAAGUUUAUAUUGGAACUUGCUCUUAACAUUGUUUUUUAAGUAUUUUUUAUAAAAGCUUAUCAAAAAUGAAAGAUAAGUAAAAGAAGAAAAAAAGCAAAAAAUAUAAAGGUAAAGUUUUAUUUUAAACUAAAUCUUCCGAAGAAUAUUUAAAUAACAAUGUCCGUGAUUAUACAGAUGUGGAGACGCCUUGCUCCAUCCCGAACCAAGAAGCUAAGCACAUCGUGGGUGAUGAUACUACGCCUUACUGGCAGGGGGAAAGUAGCUCAUUGCGGACUUGUUAAUUCUUUUAUUAUUCUUACUUAUUACUUAGUUAAAUCCUUAAUUGAUUUAUUAUUUGUUUUUUCUUUAGAGAUAGUUUUUAUUUCUUUUAUUUCUUUUAUUUCUUUUAUUUCUUUUAUUUCUUUUAUUUCUUUUAUUUCUUUUAUUUCUUUUAUUUCUUUUAUUUCUUUUAUUUCUUUUAUUUCUUUUAUUUCUUUUAUUUCUUUUAUUUCUUUUAUUUCUUUUAUUUCUUUUAUUUCUUUUAUUUCUUUUAUUUCUUUUAUUUCUUUUAUUUCUUUUAUUUCUUUUAUUUCUUUUAUUUCUUUUAUUUCUUUUAUUUCUUUUAUUUCUUUUAUUUCUUUUAUUUCUUUUAUUUCUUUUAUUUCUUUUAUUUCUUUUAUUUCUUUUAUUUCUUUUAUUUCUUUUAUUUCUUUUAUUUCUUUUAUUUCUUUUAUUUCUUUUAUUUCUUUUAUUUCUUUUAUUUCUUUUAUUUCUUUUAUUUCUUUUAUUUCUUUUAUUUCUUUUAUUUCUUUUAUUUCUUUUAUUUCUUUUAUUUCUUUUAUUUCUUUUAUUUCUUUUAUUUCUUUUAUUUCUUUUAUUUCUUUUAUUUCUUUUAUUUCUUUUAUUUCUUUUAUUUCUUUUAUUUCUUUUAUUUCUUUUAUUUCUUUUAUUUCUUUUAUUUCUUUUAUUUCUUUUAUUUCUUUUAUUUCUUUUAUUUCUUUUAUUUCUUUUAUUUCUUUUAUUUCUUUUAUUUCUUUUAUUUCUUUUAUUUCUUUUAUUUCUUUUAUUUCUUUUAUUUCUUUUAUUUCUUUUAUUUCUUUUAUUUCUUUUAUUUCUUUUAUGGUGCGAUCAUGAAUUAUUUAGUGGUUUAGUUUUUACUGCUUGUGGUGGAUUAGCUUGGUUAGCUUGUGAAAAUUUCUAAUUAGUUUGUGUUGAUUAGGUAGGAUGUUUAUUGUUAUUUUUUAUUAUUUUAUAAAAUUUAGUUAUUUAGUUGGAUUAUUUUAUUUAGGUGUUUGUUUGUGACAUUAUUUUAUAUUUUUAUCAUUUUAGAUUGUGUUUUAUGUUUUUAGUUGAGCUGGUCCUUUAAUUUUUAUUUUAUUAUCUUGAUUGGUGUUUUUUAUCAUUCUUUUUUUAGUUGUGCUUUGUUUAAUCUUUAAUAAUAAUUAAUUACAUAGCUUGUUUUAGUUUUAGUAUAAUAGGUGUUUUACCUUGUAUUUUAAUUUUUUCACUUACUUUAGAGCUUGCGAAUAAAGUAUUAUAAUUGUCAAGUUUAUUCAAACUAGUAAUUUUAUAAUUAUAACUUAGUUUUAAAAAAUUAAAUUAAAACUUUAAACUCCUUUUUUUAACAAGACUACAAUUAUCAUUAUGGCAAUAGAUGUGAAGCAAUUAAGUGUAUUACUUAGGUAAAAUAGGUUGUAUUGUGGGUGCAACUCCCACUGAAUAUCGUAUUUUUUAAUUCAUUUUAUUAAUUUUAUUCACUUUCUCAAAUGUAAUAACUAUAUUAUUUUUUCUAAAUUUCUUUAGUUUGUGAUUUUUUAUUUUUGUUGUAUCAAUUUUUGUUUCACAUAAUUUUUUUGCAUAUAAAAAAUGGUAAAAUUAAAAACUAAUCCGACUUGAGAGUGUGAAGAAUUAAAAAUGAAAACACCUUUAAAAAAUGCUACUAAUACAAGUAAUAAUGAAAUGGAUUAAACUAUUUAUAUGGUAUCUACGCUUGCAAAU
rnacentral:rRNA from 1 species